UAGAGCACAGGACUCAUGAUAUCGCAGUCAUGAGUUUGAGCCCCACCCUGGGUAUGGAGGCCACUUAAAAAGAACAAACAUACAUACAUGAAGGGCAGUAAGUCUAUUCAGGAUAAAGAAACUAAGCAAUAAUGCCUAUUUAAAAGGAAAAUGGGAGCUGGGGGAUAAGCAUGAUGAGGUCUGUUUUCAAAUACCAAGUUCUGUAGGUAUCUGACCCACAGGGUGGGAAAUAUUAAGUUACUGAAAUGAAAUACAGAAGAUUAAGUGUAAACAAUCAAAAUAGGUAAGUACAAGUGAAU